rnacentral:ribozyme from 1 species
AUGCGCAAAAUGUAACUUUUAAGGAAACGGAGAAAACGAAAAAGAGAAAACAAGCAAAGCAAAGCAAUGCAAGCGUAUAUUUUUUGUUUUUUUGUUUUUGUUGUUGAUAUU